CCUGCCAUCCUGGCCACACCUCGAUCCAUCCACAAAGAGCACGUGAUCUGGAUUACCUAAUGGCUGAUUUACCACAUCCCGCUGUCUCUUGUGACAUGAUCUGCAAACAGUCAUGAGCCUUUUCCUCUGGAUCUGAAAGAAAAGUUUAAGUGCCCUAACUCUUCCCUCCCCCCUCGCUCCAGAGGCAACAGGG